rnacentral:rRNA from 1 species
AUUGAACGCUGGCGGCAGGCCUAACACAUGCAAGUCGAACGAGUGGCGGACGGGAGAGUAAUGCUUGGGAAUCUAGCUGAGGGAGGGGGAUAACUACGGGAAACUGUAGCUAAUACCGCGUACCAUAGGAUGAGACCAAGUGGGAUUAGGUAGUUGGUGGGGUAAAGGCUCACCAAGCCGACGAUCCCUAGCUGGUCUGAGAGGAUGACCAGCCACACUGGGACUGAGACACGGCCCAGACUCCUACGGGAGGCAGCAGUAGGGAAUCUUCGGCAAUGGGCGAAAGUCUGACCGAGCAACGCCGCGUGAGUGAAGAAGGUUUUCGGGUCGUAAAGCUCUGUUGUUAGAGAAGCGGUAUCUAACCAGUAAGCAACGGCUAACUACGUGCCAGCAGCCGCGGUAAUUC